AGCGAACGCUGGCGGCAGGCCUAACACAUGCAAGUCGAGCGCCCCGCAAGGGGAGCGGCAGACGGGAGAGUAACACGUGGGAACGUACCCUUCAGUUCGGAACAACCCAGGGAAACUUGGGCUAAUACCGGAUACGUCCGUAAGGAGAAAGAUUCAUCGCUGAAGGAUCGGCCCGCGUCUGAUUAGCUUGUUGGUGAGGUAACGGCUCACCAAGGCUACGAUCAGUAGCUGGUCUGAGAGGAUGAUCAGCCUCACUGGGACUGAGACACGGCCCAGACUCCUACGAGAGGCAGCAGUGGGGAAUAUUGGACAAUGGGCGCAAGCCUGAUCCAGCCAUGCCGCGUGGAUGAUGAAGGCCCUAGGGUUGUAAAGUCCUUUCGGCGGGGAAGAUAAUGACGGUACCCGCAGAAGAAGCCCCGGCUAACUUCGUGCCAGCCGCCGCGGUAAGAC
rnacentral:rRNA from 1 species